UACGGGGGGAGCAAGCGUUGUUCGGAUUUACUGGGCGUAAAGGGCGCGUAGGCGGCCAGCACAAGUCAGUUGUGAAAUCUCCGGGCUUAACUCGGAAAGGUCAACUGAUACUGUGCGGCUAGAGUGCAGAAGGGGCAACUGGAAUUCUCGGUGUAGCGGUGAAAUGCGUAGAUAUCAGGAGGAAUACCGGUGGCGAAAGCGACUCUCUGGACGGCAACUGACGCUGAGGCACGAAAGCGUGGGGAGCAAACAGG
rnacentral:rRNA from 1 species